rnacentral:rRNA from 1 species
GACGAACGCUGGCGGCGUGCUUAACACAUGCAAGUCGAACGGAAAGGCCCUGCUUUUGUGGGGUGCUCGAGUGGCGAACGGGUGAGUAACACGUGAGUAACCUGCCCUUGACUUUGGGAUAACUUCAGGAAACUGGGGCUAAUACCGGAUAGGAGCUCCUGCUGCAUGGUGGGGGUUGGAAAGUUUCGGCGGUUGGGGAUGGACUCGCGGCUUAUCAGCUUGUUGGUGGGGUAGUGGCUUACCAAGGAUUUGACGGGUAGCCGGCCUGAGAGGGUGACCGGCCACAUUGGGACUGAGAUACGGACCAGACUCCUACGGGAGGCAGCAGUGGGGAAUAUUGCACAAUGGGCGGAAGCCUGAUGCAGCAACGCUGCGUGCGGGAUGACGGCCUUCGGGUUGUAAACCGCUUUCGCCUGUGACGAAGCGUGAGUGACGGUAAUGGGUAAAGAAGCACCGGCUAACUACGUG